GCCUUCAUGAAGCCGGAAUUGCUAGUAAUGGCAGGUCAGCAUACUGCCGUGAAUACGUUCCCGGGCCCUUGUACACACCGCCCGUCACACCAUGAGAGUUGGGAAUACCCGAAGCCUGUGAGCUAACGAAAGAGGCAGCAGUCGAAGGUAGAAUCAAUGAUUGGGGUGAAGUCGUAACAAGGUAUC
rnacentral:rRNA from 1 species